rnacentral:rRNA from 1 species
AGUCGAGCGGCAGCGGAGGUGCUUUGCUACUUUGCCGGAGAGCGGCGGACGGGUGAGAAGUGUCUGGGAAACUGCCUGAUGGAGGGGGAUAACCACUGGAAACGGUAUCUUAUCCCGCAUAACCUCACAAGACCAAAGAGGGGGACCUUCGGGCCUCUUGCCAUCAGAUGUGCCCAUAUGGUAUUAUCUAGUGGGGGGGGUAACGGCUCACCUAGGAGACUAUCCCUAGGUGGUCUGAGAGGAUGACCACCCACUCUGGAACUGACACACGGCCCACACUCCUACGGGAGGCAGCAGUGGGGAAUAUUGCACAGUGGGCGCAAGCCUGAUGCACCCGUGCCGCGUGUAUGAAAAACGCCUUCGGGUUGAAAAGUACUUUCAGCGGAGAAGAAGGUGUUGAGGUUAAUAACCUCAGCAAUUGACGUUACCCGCAGAAGAAGCCCCGUCUAUCUCCGUGCCAGCACCCGCGGUAAUACAGAGGGUGCAAGCGUUAAUCAGAAUUACUGGGCGUAAAGCGCACGCGGGCGGUCUGUCAAGUCAGAUGUGAACUCCGCGGUCUCAAUCUGGGAACUGCUUUCAACACUGGCAGGCUAGAGUCGUGUAGAGGGGGGAUAGUAUUCCAGGUGUAGCGGAGAUAUGCAUAGAGAUCUGGAAGAAUACCGGUGGAGAGCGCGCCCCCUGUGGACAAAGACUGACUCUCAUGUGCGAAAGCGUGGGAGAGCAAACAAGAAUUAUAUACCCUGGGUACUCCACCCCCAUAAAACUAUGUCGACUUAGGGGGUUGUGCCCUUAGAGGCGUGUCUUCCGAGAAGCUAACGCGUAACUACGACCCGUCUGGGAGUAGCUACGGCCCGCGAGGUUAACUACUCAUAUGAAUUGGACGGGGGCCCC